rnacentral:rRNA from 1 species
CAGCAGCCGCGGUAACACGAAGGGGGCUAGCGUUGUUCGGAAUUACUGGGCGUAAAGGGCGCGUAGGCGGCCAUUCAAGUUAGAUGUGAAAGCCCUGGGCUCAACCUAGGAAUUGCAUUUGAUACUGUUUGGCUUGAGUUCGGGAGAGGUGAGUGGAAUUCCCAGUGUAGAGGUGAAAUUCGUAGAUAUUGGGAAGAACACCAGUGGCGAAGGCGGCUCACUGGACCGACACUGACGCUGAGGCGCGAAAGCGUGGGGAGCAAACAGGAUUAGAUACCCCCGUAGUCCCUGUCUCUUAUAC